UUCUUUUCUUGUUUCAUAGGCGGCCAAGGUGAUUGCGUAUGGCGAUUGGUCUCAUUAGAAUUUCAGAGUGCAUAUUUGUGUGAGCAAGAGCAACUCACAUUUUCCAUGCCUACGGUUACCAUAUGGCACCAUAAUAUUAUUAUUGUAUUUACUUCAUGAAAUUAAAAGGUUUUAGUAUUUAUUCUUCAUUUUAUUGUGAGAACAUGCUCUACUUUUGGGUCCCAAUGAUCCUACACCCUGAAGAAAAAUUACCAAUGAACUGUGUCAUUAACAUUCUCUACUUUGCUUAAAGUAAAUUUCAGUGAUAAUUAGUUCUAUAAUCUGUACCCAACCGCUUGAGUUAAAUCUUAUUAGCAUAUUGAAUUUUUAAUAAUACUGAUUAGAGGUAUUUAUGGGCUGCAUUGGGUUGAAUUGGGUUGGAUUUAUGUAGAACAUUAACAUCAUAUUUUUGUGUUAAAUUUUGGAGACGAUAAUGUCUUACUUUUUUUUUUGUAAGACAUUUUUCAAUUUUUUUCCUCUCCACAUCCCCAGCAAAGAAAAACCCUCUUUCCCUUCCCUCUCCCCCUUCUUUGCAAUUCCGACCCAAUGCUUGGUGCUAGCCAACAACGCUUCUCAAUACCUGUCACCGACAUUCAUCUUUGAUCUUCCCCCUUUUCGACGACGACGUUCAUCUUCCUGUCUCGAAGUUUUCUCGUUGGUCUUUUACUAGUUUCACUCAUCAGCAGCUCACUCUUUUUCCUUGUUUAUUUUACAGGCAAUCACAUCAACUGGAACUAAGAAAGGUGAAUUUUUGUUGGCUAAUAUAAGCACUGAGCUGAAGAACAAGAACAUCACAACUAAUGUCAAAGUUGACACUAGCUCUUACCAUGGUGAGUCCAGCCUUCUUAGAUAUACUAUCUAAUUGUGAUUUUUGGGGGUUUUAUUUUUACUUUUUAGCUUUUCACCACUGUUACUGUUGAUGAACCUGCACCGGGUUUGAAGACAAUCUUUAGUUUUAUUGCCCUUGAUCCAAGGUCUGGCAAGGUGGAACUACAAUACCAACAUGAAUAUGCUGGCAUAAGCACUAGCAUUGGAUUGACUGCAAAUCCCCUUGUUAACUUUUCUGGCGGUGUGGUUGGAAGCUGUAGGGUCCAAUUUUUGCCCGGCCCGUUAAAUAAAUAAAAAUCAAACAGAAACAAAGGCUAAUGUUUCAGUCCAAUUUUAUUACAAACCCAAUAACGGGCCCAAUAGUUAAUUCCUAACCCAGGCCCGAAAUUAAUGGAAAAGGAAGGGUUUGGAAACCUAGCAGCAGCCUCCCUACUUCCAGCAAAGCCUCCAGCCGCCGCACGUCUCGAGGCCGACUCCUCCACGUGCGCUCCACAAACACCUGCAAGCACGAACUCAAAGAGUCCGAAAGAGAAGAAACAACAAAAAAUAACAAUUAUAUUCGAUUUCUUUUUAUUUUUCGGGCUAUAUAAAGCUGUUUUAUUUUGUAAAAUAGGGAGACCAAUAUUGUAUUGAGGAUAUACUGAAAAAUGGGGAGAAAGAUUCAAAAGAAAUACAAAGUUUUUUAAAAUACAGAGGUGAAUAUUUUUUCGUUGUA